AGUGAACGCUGGCGGCAGGCCUAACACAUGCAAGUCGAGCGGCAGCGGGUUCCCGCGAGGGGAUGCCGGCGAGCGGCGGACGGGUGAGGAACACAUCGGAAUCUGCCUGGUUGUGGGGGAUAACGUAGGGAAACUUACGCUAAUACCGCAUGAGACCCUGAGUCGACGGACUGGGGGUGAAAGUGAGGGACCUUCGGGCCGUCACGCGACCAGAUGAGCCGAUGUCGGAUUAGCUAGUUGGCGGGGUAACGGCCCGCCAAGGCGACGAUCCGUAGCUGGUCUGAGAGGAUGAUCGGCACACUGGAACUGAGACACGGUCCAGACUCCUACGGGAGGCAGCAGUGGGAAUCUUGCGCAAUGGGCGAAAGCCUGACGCAGCGACGCCGCGUGGGGGAUG
rnacentral:rRNA from 1 species